CCUACGGGGGGCAGCAGUGGGGAAUAUUGGACAAUGGGGGCAACCCUGAUCCAGCCAUGCCGCGUGUGUGAAGAAGGCCCUCGGGUUGUAAAGCACUUUCAGUGAGGAAGAACGCCUGGUGGUUAAUACCCAUCAGGAAAGACAUCACUCACAGAAGAAGCACCGGCUAACUCCGUGCCAGCGCCGCGGUAAUACGGAGGGUGCGAGCGUUAAUCGGAAUUACUGGGCGUAAAGCGCGCGUAGGUGGCUUGAUAAGCCGGUUGUGAAAGCCCCGGGCUCAACCUGGGAACGGCAUCCGGAACUGUCAAGCUAGAGUGCAGGAGAGGAAGGUAGAAUUCCCGGUGUAGCGGUGAAAUGCGUAGAGAUCGGGAGGAAUACCAGUGGCGAAGGCGGCCUUCUGGACUGACACUGACACUGAGGUGCGAAAGCGUGGGUAGCAAACAGGAUUAGAUACCCUAGUAGUC
rnacentral:rRNA from 1 species